UAUAGAAUAAGUAUAUAAAGUAUGUUUGUAGAGUUUUACAAUGCGUUUUGAGCUAAAUGUAUCACAAAGUAAUCAAAGUUUAAAAAAUUAACUUACACAGUAAAAUGUUAUGGUAAGCCAUGGUUAAUUGAUUAUUGAAGGAAGAAAUUUUUAAUAAAUUUAACGUAGCCUAGGUGUACAGUUUUUCUAAAGUCUACAGUAGUGUAUGGUAAUGUCCUCAGCCUUCACAUUCACUCACCACUCACUCACUGCCUCACCCAGAGCAAUUUCCAGUCCAUUCAUAUGUGCCUUAUAAAGAUGUACCAUUUUUAUCUUUUAUAUGAUAUUUUUACUUUGCUUUUCCUGUGUUUGGACAUGUAUAGAUACAUAAAUACUUGCUCUCGAGUUAUAGUUGCCUACAGCAUUUGGCAAAGUAACUUGCUAUGCAGAUUUGUAGCAAGGAGCAAUAGGCUGUAUCAUACAGCCUAGGUGUGUAGUAGGCUAUAUCAUUUAGGCUGUGUAAGUACACUUUAUGAUUUUUGUACAUUGAUGAAAUUGCCUAAUGAUGUAUUUCUCAGAAUAUGUUCCCAUCAUUAGGUGACACAUUACUUAUUUAUAUUUUUCAGACAGUACAAAUUUUCAAAGGCUAUUGAAAAAGCUUGUGUCUCUAAUAAGUAAAUGGAUCUAUGUUACUUUAUGCAUUGAAAGCCCGAAUUGAUAGUUCUGUAACAUGCUGUAUCUUAUGCAGUUUUUUCCGGUGAAAACCAUUUUCACUUCUGUUUCACCAGGAGGGCUAGGCCUGCUUACUGUCCCAAAAUGCAGCUAUCAAACUGUUUUUCUACUCUCAAACAGUCUGCCUUAUUAACGUUUGUGUGUGUGUGUUGUGGAGGCAAUUUGUGUAUCUCAUAACAGUUACUGCAUUUUUUUCUGAUUUUAAAAGCAACUCAUUUUUAUUUUAGGAUGUCUACACACUAGAGAAAUAUUUGAUUUGAUAACUUUGCUAAUAUAAACAAUGUUGCAACAUACAGCCUUGUGCUGAGCUUUCAUGUCUGUGUGUAAGUAUUCCUGAAGUUAAAACUAGGUGCAUUUGUAAUUUUGAGAGAUGCUUUCAAAUUGUCAUUUAUUUAUGUCAUGCUUUCAUACACAUUAUAUUCUCACCAGCAGUGUGUAAUAAUGCCCCUUUUCUUACAUCAUCCACAUCAAUGUCAUGAAUAUUAUCAGAUUUUUUUGGUCUUUAUCAAUCUAAUAGGGAAAAAAAGUCUUACUUUUAUUUCUCUUAUUAUGAUUGAAAGUUUUUUUCUAGUUUAAGAAUCACUUAUAUUUCCAUUUUUAUGAAUUCUCAGCUUAUAUAAUUUGCUUCUUUUUCUUUCAAGGGGUUUAUUUUUUUGCGGUUUGGAGACUUGCAUAUUGCAUAGGAUAUUAGUUAUCAAUAUUUUUCCCAGUUUAUCUUUUGAUACUUUUCCUCUAGAUUUUUGUCAUUCAUUACUUAUGUUUUUGUUUUUCUGUUUAUGAUAGACAGUAGCUUCAAUGUGAGAUUAUUUAAAAAUAUUUCCAUGAUUUCUUUUAGUAAUAUUAUGUACACUUCAUAUUCUGUAUUUAAAUAUUUGAUUUAUUAAUAAUAUAUUCUAUCGGGCUGAUAAGGCAAUAUAACAAUCAAGGUGAAGAAGAGAAGGGUUGGGGAAUAAUUAGAGUAAGAUGCUUGCUAAGAAAGUUGGAUAAAAGCACUCAAAUGUUUUUAUUUGUUUUCUAAAUGGUAACUUAGUUGCCCUAAUAUAUUUUAGUGAAAUAUUCAUUUUCAACAUGAAUUUGCAAUGCCAUCUUUAUCCUGUACAUAAUUGCCAAAUGUGCUAGAGUUUGUUUGCUGACGUUUUAAUGUUAUUGACAUUAAAUCUUCAUGCUUAGCAUUCACUAUACUGGUUUAGUUAUUCUAGCUGUAAAAUGCAUUUUAACAUUUGAAAUAGAUAUUGUUUCCAUAUUUCUUGUCUUUUUUCAUCAGUUUCACAGAUUUUCAUGCCUGUUUAUAUUACCAUCUGAACUCUAGAAUCAAGAUAUGUAUUUCUCCAGAAGACGAAGCAACUUGUUGCUCAUCUGCUGUCAUUAGUGUUAAUGGAUUUUAUGUGUGGCCCAAGACAGUUCUUCUUCCAGUGUGACCUGGAGAAGCCAAAAGAUUGGACACCCCUGCUUUAACUUUUCACCAUGGGUCAAGCUGAAGUGACCUCCAAGACCUGGAGCCUUUUAACUGUGGGGACAGUUAUGAUCUGAUGGCAGAGCUGAGGCAUCAAAGGCAUCAACCUAUUUCCCAGGGACCUCAAGCUACUGGUAUACUGGAGUAGUAACUCCCUACCCUAUGCAAUAGGUGAGACAGCACCCUGCACCCUGGAAAUACGAGCCUCUGGCCCAGUGAAGCAGCUGUACCUCUAAGUAUCAUAGUUGAUUCCACACCUUGAGCCCACUGAUCCCGAGGCUCUACUAACCCAUGUAGUUGUACUUUCUGGGGCUAAACAGACAGAGUAGAGUCUUGGCUGAACUGUGGCUAUGUACCUUCCAGACCAAAAAGCCCAUAGUGCCCACUUACCCAGAACUGGACCCGACUCCUACAGUCUGAGCUGCAAAGACACCCCGUCUCUUCUGAAGGGAGCAUCACUAUACUGCUUCCUGUCCCCUGGGGCUUAAAUCAAUCAGGAACUUGCAUCCUUGCUGCUAUACCUGGCCAUGUAAAGUCUGGGAUACUCCUAUGUCCUACCAUUUUCAGUUCCAGAGUCACCACCUCCUGGUACCUUAUUUUCUGGAGCCCACGUGCCACUGUGCCCUGUUUGUGCUGGGUCCUGAAUUGCAGCUAUGCCCAACUCUCUGGGGCCUGAGCCUCUGUAGCACUUUUUUCCUCUUUUUUUUUUUCAAGAUCCAUGCUGGUGCCUCCCAGGGUUAGAACCAUAGCUACAUCCCAGCUCCUAGGACAAAGCUACUGAGAUGUGUAGGAGUUCGGUCAGGGUGGUGGGAGAAAUUUUAGAAAUGCAAAUCUUCUUGGAAGGCCAGAAGGUGCAAUGCAGAGGAGUUUAUCUAAAUAGUUUAUUUACUCAUGUGAUCCUAAGACUGAUCUUUGGUUUACCAUGGAGGGGGGAGGCAUAUGAGUGCUCUCUACUCAGGGGGUCAGCAAUGUUAAUUACCCUCUAAUGGUGUUUACUUGAGACCUUUAUUAUUUAAUCUGUACUUAAUAAAUGUGAAAGCUGCAAGCUUAUCAAGGCUGCUGCUGACUCUUGCAGUGGACCCCAGGCUGGACAAAGGCAAAAUAUCUGUGUCAGUAUAUGUUUUUGAUCUGUCACUCAGUCUGUGGGUCCAUCCCAGCAGGAUGUGCCUCAGAGAAACAGUCCUCAGCUUAGUGGGAGAAUUGCAUUCUCUUGUGCUUUGCAGAGUGAGCCUGUGACCUCAAUUUCUGGGUUCUGUGGUACUUUGACAAAAUGCUUAGCCCAAGAAUCCAGUUCCACAGCUGCUCCAAGGACCUGUGUUCUAUAUUCCAAUGCUUUUGUUGCUGCUUGAUAGCCAUAUCACACCCAAUAUCAAGAAAGAUCCCAGCUAAGACUCCCCACUGUGAGAAAAACAAGAAUAAGAGGAUCCCUAGAGUCUUUACCCUAAUAACUUAUGCAGCCACCAUUACUGCAACAAAUUCCUACAGUCUAGGCUACAUAGGCACUUCUAGUCAUCAAAAACAUUGAUCAGAAUCAGAGAAGCUGAAUGUAGAUUACACUACUGUGUCCACAUGGUGAGUUGCUUGCACCCUGUUCAAUCUGUAAUGCAGGCCUAUCUAUAUGUGAAAGCCUCCCCCAUGAAAGCCACUCUGUAAAGUUUAGGAGUGACUUCACUGUCUGAUGCACAGACAUCAAUGCAGGGACACAAGAAAGAUGAAAAGGAAAUAUGACAGCACCAAAGAAACACAAUAAUUCUUCAGUAAUGGACCCCACAAAAAUAGAAAUUUACAAAUUGCCUAAAAAGGAAUUCAAAAUCAUGAUCUUAAGGAAAUUUAGUGAGACAUAAGGUAAUAGAAAUAAAUGAUUCAAUGAAUUCAGGAAAACAAUGAUCCGAAUGAGAAAUUCAAAUAAGAGGUAUAUGAAAGAACCAUACUGAAUUCUUGGACCUAAAUACAAUGAAUUAAAAAAAUAUGGUUGAGGUUUCACAGCAGAGGAGAUCAAAAAGAAAGAAUUUUUGAACUGUGGUAUCAGUCUUUUGACAUUCUCAAAGGAAAAUUAAGAGUUUAAAUCCUGGCCAAUGUAGUGAAACCCCAUCUUUACUAAAAAUACAAAAAUGAGCUGGGCAUGGAGCUGCGUGCCUAUAGUCCCAGCUACUAGGGAGGCUGAGGCAGGAGAAUCACUUGAACCCAGGUGGUGGAGGUUACAGUGAGCUGAGAUCAUGCCACUGCACUCCAGCCUGGCAACAGAGUGAGAAUCUGUCAAAAAAAAAAAAAAAAAAAAAACAAAGACAACUACAGGACUGAUGGCACACUGUUAAGUGAAUAAAUAUUUGUAUUAUUGGAGUCCCAAAAGGAUAAGAGAAAGAUAAAGGAGCAGAAAGCCUAUGUAAACUAAUUGCUGAGUAUUUCCCAAGUCUGGGAAGAGAUAUGGACAUCCAGAUCCAUUAAGCUCAAGGAUUUCUAAUAUAUUCAACCUGAAGAGAUUCUUUCUGAGACAUAUUAAAACCAAACUGUUGAAAGUCAAAGUUAAAGAGAUAAUUUUAAAAGAAAGAAGAGAAAAAUAUCAAGCCACAUAUAAGAGAAUCUCUAUUGGACUAUGAGCACAUUUCUCAGGAUGAAUUUUGCAGUCUAGGAGAUAAUGGAAUUACAUUGUCAAAGUGCUGAAAUGGGGUGGGGGGAACCCAUCAGCCAAGAGUAGUAUACCCAGCAAAGCAACGUAGUAUACUUGGCACAAGCCAAGAUAAUUUAUUACAGUUGGAGCUGCCUUACAAGAAAUGCUUAAGGAAGUUCUUCAAGUAGAAACCAAAGGAUGAUCAGUAGUAUCAUGAAUACAUAUGAAAAUGUAAAACUCACUACUAGAGACAAAUACAUAAUCAAAUCCUAAGUGUUCCAAUACUUUAACGGCAUUGUGAAAGUCAUAUAUAUCUCUAGUAUGAAGGUUAAAGUCAAAAUCAUCAAAAAUAUCUAAAGCUAUAAGUGUUACAACAUAUAUAAUAUAAAAAGUUGUAAAUUGUGACAUCAAAAAUAUAAAUGUGAUAAAAAUCUCGUGUUUUUAUAUAUAUCAGGAAUUGUUGGCUUAAAAUAGUAGACUAUAGGAUGUUUUUGUCAGCCUCAUGGUGACCAAAAAAACCUACAGUAGAUACACUAAUGAUAAAGAUAAAAGAAACAGAAGUUAGCAUUACAGAAAAUUACCAAAUCAUAAAGGUGAGUGACAAGAGAAAUUAAGGAACAAAGAAACUACAAAAAAAGCAGAGAACAAAUAGCAAAAAUGGCAGUAGCAAGUCCCUAUCAGUAACAACCUUGAAUGUAAAUUGAUCAAAUUCAACCACUCUGUGUAAUUUCAUUGGGUAAUUUGACUCAUUUACAUUCAACACAGAGUGAUUGAAUGGACAAAAAUCAAUAUCCAACCAUAUGCUGCCUGAAAGAGACCCAUUCAAGCUUUAAGGAUACACAGAGACUGAAAGUGAAGGGACAGAAGUAGAUAUUAAAAGCAAAUUGUAAUCAAAAAACCAGCAGUGGCUAUACCUACCUGAUAAAAUAGACUUCAAGUCAAAAACUAACAUAUGAUAAAAAAAACAUUGUUACUGAAUGAAAUCAAUCAGUUUAUCAAGAUGGCAUAAUCAUUGUAAAUAUAUAUUCACACAAUAUUGGACUAUUUCAAUACAUAAGCUAUUAAUGAACACAGAGAGGAAUAGAUAGCAAUACAAUAAUAGAAGGAUGCUUUGUACCCCACUUUCAACAAUAGACAUAUUAAACAGACAGAGAGUCCAGUAGAUACUGGACUUAAAAAGUACUUUUGACCAAGUGGACUUAGCAGACACAUACAGAACAUUCCAUCUAGCAGCAACAGAAAAAUACAUAUUUUUUUCAGAGUACAUGAAACAAUGUUAGGUGAUAAAACAUUUUUUAACAAAUUUAAGAAUAUUUAAGUCCGAUUGAGUAUAAUUUCUGACAACAAUUGUAUGAAACUAGUAAUCGAUAACAGGAGAAAUCAUGAAAAUUUUAUUAAUUUGUGGAAAUUAAAUAACAUGCUCCUGGACAACCAGUGGAUCAGAGAAGAAAUCAAAAGAAAUCUUGAGACAAACACAAUGGGAACAUAAUAUACCAAAACUUAUGCAAUAUAGCAAAAGCAGUUUUAGAGGAAAGUUUAUAGAAAUAAAUGCCUACAUUUAAAAAGAAGAAAUAUUCCAUAAAUAUGGUCUAAUUGUCAAGGAACUAGAAAAAGAAAAAACUAGGAAAAUGAAAGAAAUAAUACAUAGCAGAAUAGAAAUAAAUCUAAUAAGUCAGGCACAGUGGCUCACACCUGUAAUCCCAGCCCUUUGUGAGGCUGAGGUGGGCAAAUCAUGAGGUCAAGAGGUCAAGACCAUCAUGGCCAACAUUGUGUAACCCCAUCUCUACUAAAAAUAUGAAAAUUAGCUGGGUAUGGUAGAGUGUGCCUGUAGUCCCCACUAUUCAGUAGGCUGAGGCAAGAGAAUGGCUUGAACCCAGGAGGUGGAGAUUACAGUGAGCUGAGAUCGUGUCACUGCACUCCAGCUGAUGACAGAGCAAGAUUUCAUCAAAAUAAAACACACACACACAAAAAGAAAGAAAUCAAGUAAGAACAGAUAAGCCAUAUGAAGAGAAAUAAAACUAAGAGUUUUUUUCCUGAAGAAAAAAAGUUGACAAACCUCUUAGCUAGUCUCACCAAGAAAAAAAAAAAAAACUUAAAGGAAUACAACCAGAGAUGAAAGAGAACUAAUUAUUGCAAACACUUUACAAAUGAAAAGGAUAAAAAAAACUAUAAUGAACAAUUCAAUGCCAAAAAAAAUUGGAUAAUCUAGGUGCAAUGAAAAAAAUUCUAAAAAAAUAGCUCCAACCAAGAUGGAGAUAGGAAGAAAUAGAAAGCCCAAAUAGACCAAUAAGAAAGAAAUUGAAAAAUUAAUCAAAAACUCCCAACAAAGAAAAACCUAGGACCAGAUAGCUUUACAGCCAAAUUCUACCAAACAUUCAAUGAAGAAUUUAUAUCAAUCCUUUGUAGACUCUUUUGAAACAUAAAGCUAAAGGAACUACUUUUAAACAUAUUUCAUGAGGCCAACAUUACCUUAAUACAUAAGUCAGACAAAGACAUCACAGGAAAAGAAAAACAUAGGGCAAUUUCUCUGAUGAAAAGCAUUGCAAAAAUCCUUAUUAAAAUAUUAGUAAAUUAAAUCCAGCAACAAGUCAAAAAGAUCAUGACUGAAUGGGAUUUAUCCCUGGCAUGCAAGACUGGUUGAACGUAUGCAAAUCAAUCAAUGUGAUACAUCACAUUAACAGAAUAAAAGAUUAAAAACCAUGUGAUUAUCUCAAUUGAUACAGAAAAAGCAUUGCCUACUCCAACAUCCUUUCUUGAUAAAAAUACUCAGCAGUUUAGGUAUAGAAAGAAAGUUUUUCAUCAUAAUUAGAGUCUUUUAUUAAAAAAACACCCACAGCUAAUACUAUAAUCAAUGGGGGAAAACUGAAAGCUUUUCCAUUGAGAUUUGGUAAAAAGCAAGGGAUGUCCACUCUCACACAUCUAUUCAAUAUAGUGCUGAAAGUACUAGCAAGAACAAUCAGACAAGAAAAAAGAAAAAGAAGCAGAAGAAAAGAAAAGGCUUCUCAGUUAAAGGGAAGAAAUUAAAUUAUUUCUAUUUGCAGCUGAAAUAAUUCUGUAUGUAAAAACUCUCCAGAAUGCCAGAAAAAAACUCUUAGAACUACUAAAUGAAUAUGGCAAAGUUGAAGGAUACAAUAUCGAAAUACAAAAAUUGGCAGCAUGUAUAUACAAAACUGAUAACCCAACCUACAGACCAAUGGGAAAGAUUAGAGAAUCACACACACACAAAAAGAACACCAUCUGAUCUUCAAUAAAGUCUCACUCUUACUAUGUUUUUAAAAUUCUGAGAAGUGUCGCCUACACUGGAAAUAUUUGCUAAACCCAAACUUUCAGGAUGCUAGUAGGAUACACUUUAAUUGAAUCUAUAAAAGUAAUUCCCCAGGAGUGCACCUUUGACUAAUUUACAGAAACUAAUAAGGGAUUUACAGAGGAAAAUAAAUAAAUAAAAUUGAAAAAAUGACUGGUCUUCCUUGGCUCAGCCUAAUAUUUAAAACUGGAAAGACUUGGGAAUUAAGUUUUGGUGGUUCAUAUUAUGGCAUUUCACUUUGUUUUUACUUGGGAGGGUUGAAAUGUGUAUCUCUAUUGCAUUUUACGUGGUUCACUCCAGUGGUCCAGGACACUGUUAAUAUCAUGUCCACUAGAAAUUCUUGGAUUUCCAUGGUAAACAUGAGCAGUGGUAGAUCAAAAAGUUAUUUUUAUUAAAUAAAGAGUGUUAUUCCUAGACUAGAGAUUAAAAAAAUUUUUUUUGAUAUUGUUUUUGUGAUGGUUCUUUUUGACCAGAUUUAAGGUAACAAGUUGGGGAAGCAUAAUAUUGGUCUUCUGUGUUCUACGAUUGCAUAGCCUUGUUUUACUUGUUUGUUUUGAACUUUUUUAUACUGAGUCUUAUCUGAUAAGAAUUCAGGUAGACAAUUAAAUAGUCAAAGGAGAAGCAACUGGAGAAACACAAAAUAGCCUUGCUAAUCUAUAUACUAGCUAAUCAACUCCUAAUUUUGAAUGUUGAUUGGAUUCACAGACUGUGAAAUGGAGUUCUGUAAAGUUUUCGUAACUAAACCUCAACUUAAUUUUGGUCUUUUGUAAAAAACUUGCCCAUGUUUGUGAAGUUCAGAAACAAAAUACUAAGUUUAAAUACACCAGGGUUGACUCAAGUUCCAAAGCAGAAAAUGGAACAAGCAGAUAUUUUAGGAAACAGACUGAGUCAGCAUGGUUCUUAGAAAUGGUUAUCUGCACACCUAAAUCCCUCUGCCAUCCUGAGGAUAAAUAAUUUUGUUCUAUGGAUCAUCUCAUUUGCUGACUUAGAUAAAUAUAGAUUUCUGGUUCCCAUCAAAAGAUAGAUGAAAUGUUUUCCAAGCAUUUCUCUGUUGUGGUUUUUUUUCUACAGUAUUUCAUUAACUUUUGAAACAAUUUUAGUUCACUAUGAGUUUUGCUUUGAUAAUUAUCCUCAUUUUGUGACUUCUAAAAAUAAGAUAUGUAUAUAUACAUAUAUAAAUUGAUGUCUAUAUGUAGAGAUAUACAUCUGUAAAUAUGCCUGUGAAUAAAAAUAUUUUAUCAAUCAUGUUGAUGCCAUGGAUUCUAAGCAUGACCAAUCGGUUCAGAGCGUGUUGCAUAGGAAUGCUGUUUACAUUUAUAACUUCUUAUUUUAAAUUCUUUACUCCUUACAAAUAGUGAUUUUACUUGAAAUAGAUUUUUUUAACUGAAAAAUGACCCCUACCUAUUAAAAAAAUCAUAUAUUUAACAACAUAAGCCUUUUCAAGAAUGCAUCAUUGUCAUCAAAUCUCAAAUCUCCCCAGAAAAGUUUUCCUUGCAUAAUCUUAGUUAUGUCUGAUUUUUUAUUGUCUAUCAAAGAAAUAACAUUUCUUCAGUUCGGAUUUUAAGGUGAUAUGCAAUAUCUAGUAUUUUUUGAUUCUAUUUAUCUUUGAUUUAAAUAUAAUAAGGCUGAAUAUAAAUGACCAAUGAUCCUAGAUAUGGCAUACGAUGGAAUAUGGGGCUUCUUUCUUAUCUCAUACUUUUAUUUACAUGCUAUUCUAUGACUUUUUCCUUUACUUUUUUUCUGUGGUUUUUGCUUAUGCCAUUUUGUCAAUCUGGAAAUAAGUCUAUGUACCCAGCUAAGUUUGCUGAUAACCUUAGUCCCUGAAGUCCUAAACUACAUGCAAGAAAGCUGUAGGGAGAAGAGUUGGUGAUCAGAGGCCAUACACAUUAAGACUGCAAGCUAUCAAAGAUAAAUUGAGUAAGUUAGAAUACAUGCUUCAUAUAGUGGGAUGACAUGGGUGGUCAGCAACUAGAUAAGUAAAAGCCUCUAAAACACGUGUUGACUAAAACCUCAGGAAAGGAAAAAAGCAGAACACACAGAGUAAAUAGAGCCAAGGCAAGCUGUGAAUCAUUACAGAAUUCAUCUCUAGCCUCCCUAGGCAGCUCAAUAAGGUCUUACUGAGGAGCUACCUAGGUCUUUGUGUAUCAAGGUUCUGCUAGACACUUAGUGUAUCAAGGCUCUGCUAGCCUUUGCAUCUCAAAUGUUAUCUCUUCAAUAAAGUCUUUUUAGUAUCCCCAAAGCUACAGUUAAUAUGUCCCUCAAUACUUUAUCAGUUCCCAUUUUAUAAUUUCUUUCUAAUGUUAUUCAGUCAACAUUGAGCACCCACAGUGUGCCAAGCAUUCUGGUAGAAGUUAUAAAUACAGUAACAAAUGAGAAAGAUAAAGUAUCUGUCCUUAUGAAACUUACAAUUAUAGUUGUAUGACUUUAAGUCUAUCAAAUGAUAUUUAUGGAAUAUAAUAUGAAUAAUUGAAUAUGAAUAAUUCAAUAAUUGUUUAACGAUAAAACUUAAAAUAUGACAUUUAAAUAAUAUAAUAUUCUUUAAAUACACUCAAUUAGGCUUUAAACUACCAUUCCAAAAGGAUGCUAGGAAAUUCCUUAUCAGUCAUUCUUAGUCUUCCAUUUCCUCCUAAGAUCACACGAGGAGAAUUUGCAAUGCUCAGAAGAUGGAAGAAAGCUACUGACUUUUCCCUCUGUCAUGGUUGUUAGUAUCAUCUUUUCCAAGUUCACAGCAUACCUUGAAAUCCAGGAACUCUCUUUUAUGCCACAUGUAGAGUGUGGGUUCUUUGCUCAGAUUCAGACUUCUUAGAUGUACUAUCCUCCUAUCAUACCCACUUAGGUCUGGCCACCUCUUUAGGGACCAACUAUGGUAUUGAAGAAACCUACAGGCAUCUUUUUCUCCAGCCAGGCAUCUCUACCUUGCUGCUUUCCUCCCUAAGAUGUCUGGCAUAAUCUCCUCAUGAUUUUAGGCUUUUUAUAAAAGGCAGGCUUCUUCAGGUUACUUUCACUUUCUACCAGGCUAUAAACCAUGAGGGGAAGAAUUACAAAGCUCUAUUAUCUCAGUAAAAUGAGAAAAGAGAAAAUAUAUCUGAACCUCUCAAAAAUGUAUUUGCCAGUCUAAAAUGGAAGAUAGAGAUUAUAUAAGUGACUAUUAUACACGAGAAAAAUAAUUGUAAUGCACCCAGAGAAUUUAUUCCUAAAAGUAAAAUAAGUAGGUAUGCCAAUAUUUAGCUACAUUUGUGCCCAUCACAGCAUUACUUAUUAAAGCCCAAAACAACAACAACAACAACAACAGCAACAAAACAAACCAGGAAUCAACACUAGUGUUCAACAAUGGAAGAGUGGUCAGAUAAAGUAUGUUGCAUCUGUACAAGUCUGUACUACGUGGAUAUGUUCUGAUGGGACUGCUAUUCACAAAAGUAACCGGAUUAUGCAGCAGAGUUGUGACAUAACUGAUGUCUGGCUGUGAUUUGGAAGUACACAUAACCUAAAACAACCAGCUGAGGUGACCAAGCAGUGAAAGCCCAGAAGGACUUUAAGUGCUGAAAGAAGGAAGAAAUCCUCAGGAAGUCCAGCCUCAUUGCAACGAAAUAGACAAGUAGUGUCAGUCAACAGCAAUCCUUCAUGAUGUUUCCCUUGGCCAGAAAUGCACUAAGCAGUCUCAAGAUUCGAAGCAUUCAGCAAAGUAUGGCAAGAAAGAGCCCCGUAAAACACUCACCAGAUUUUCAUGACAAAUAUGGUAAUGUUGUGCUAGCCAGUGGCACUGCUUUCUGUGUUGCUGCAUGGGUGUUUACAACUACUCAGAUUGGAAUAGAAUGGAACCUAUCCCCUGUUGGCAGAGUUACCCCAAAAGAGUGGAAAAAACAGUAACCAUCACAGUUGUAAUGACAGAAUUAUUUAAAAAAAAAAACAACUUGUCAUGUAAGCACUCUGCUGCUUAUUAAAAUAUAACAUAAUUGAAAAAAAUAAAAUGUGUUUUAAAAGUUUAAAAAGUCUUUGCAAAUGGUCACUUUAUAUGUAUAUUACCUGGAAGC